rnacentral:rRNA from 1 species
CAGCAGCCGCGGGAACACGAAGGGGGCUAGCGUUGUUCGGAUUUACUGGGCGUAAAGCGCACGUAGGCGGACUUUUAAGUCAGGGGUGAAAUCCCGGGGCUCAACCCCGGAACUGCCUUUGAUACUGGGAGUCUUGAGUUCGAGAGAGGUGAGUGGAAUUGCGAGUGUAGAGGUGAAAUUCGUAGAUAUUCGCAGGAACACCAGUGGCGAAGGCGGCUCACUGGCUCGAUACUGACGCUGAGGUGCGAAAGCGUGGGAAGCAAACAGGAUUAGAUACCCCCGUAGUCCCUGUCUCUUAUAC